GAGCUUCGUUUUAGUGUUGUUAGUGCAAGACAGAAGCAAUAAGUUUGUCUCGGACUUUUUAGGGAAGAUUGUGCUGUGUGAGACGACGCGUCGUUUCUGGGUUUGGAUAAAGUUUCGUGUGGAGGAGAUAAUGUAGGGUCGCCAUAUUAGCGUUUUCGCCAUUUGCAAGUUCUUUGGAGAAAAAUGAGAGUUUUUGCAGUCGAAUCGUAGAAGCGUGUCUUUCUUUCUUUUUUUCGUCUUUUAAAUCUGGCCGGUGAUGAAGGGUGUAGAGUUUUGGGCUUCAUUUUUAGCUUAAGACUGGGCUUGAGUGAGACUUUCUGACAUAAUUUUUUUUUUUUCUUAUAUGUCUUAACAUACUAUCAUUUAUAAAAAAAUUAUUAAUUUAUACAUUCAGAAACAAAUUAAUAAAAAGUAUAUAUGUCAUAAAUCUUAAUUUGUUCUUUGGUAUAUAAACAUGUAUUUUUCUUAUUGUUAGAAAAGGAAAAAAAAAAAAAAAAAGAGGCACAUUAGCACUUAAAAAGAUGUAGAAAGCGAACGAGUUGAAGUGGGUUUUGCUGCUCAGAGUAUAAUUUCUUGAAUAUGUACUGAACAUGGAAUACUUCAGCUACAAAACAGCAACUAACUAUCCUUCACUAAUCAUUAUAAAAGUGACAACAGAAGACAGGAUUUGAACUUCAUCUCUCUCUUUUCAGAAACAGAACAUUCUUACCACUUCACUUAGCUUCGAGUUUUAUUGAUCAUUCAUUGAAGACACAAUGAUUUCGUAUAUAUCUAAUUUGAUACCUGAGUAUCAACAUAAUUUCGUUGCCCUUUAAUUACAAAGCCAACUGUUUAUGCAAUGAUCUGACCGCACUAUCAACCGGCUUGUCCUGCAACAGAAUUUUCAACUCCUUUGCAAAUCGUUUCAUCGCUUGGGCUGGCAAGCAAAUUGGCAAUAUGAAUCCAUUUUCUCCUUUCUUAUUUUCGAAUGGUACACAAAAGCUGGAUAACAUUGGAAUGGCUUUGACAGGACCACCAUAUUUCGCUCUGCCCCAUCCAAAAUCUACCUCUGUAAAUUUCGCAUGUCUCACAUCCGAUAUUAUGUAUGUUCCUUCUAAGGGAAAAACAGGUCUACCCUUAAUCACCAAUGUAUCAGCCACUGAUUGCACGUACUCUCUAGUCAUAUUCGCUUUAGUUCUUUUUAUUAAUUCUAUUGCAUAAUUCAUCGGUUCUUUUAAGAGUUCUCCAGCAGUUGUUACCGCGGUUGAAAGCACAAAUCCAUUGCCAUAAUACCCUUUUGGUAUUAAUGGAGGAUCAAAUUUGUCGCGUGCAUUGGUAAGACAUAUCAUUCUUAUUUCUUGUGUAGGGUUCGGCUGCAAAGCAAUAGUACGACAUUUCCAAAGACAAGCUGUUAGUAUUUCGAACGUGGAGCAGCGACAGAGACGAGAAGAGGCAUGUCUUCGAAGAGCUGAUAUUUCAGUAGGUCCAAAAAAGAAUGCUUCCUCAGCUAAGUCAUCGAGUGGGAAUGGAACCACUGUACGAUUGUUUUCAUUGUAUUCAGGAUGUGUGCAUGUUGUAAUUGGUGGGUUCCUUGCAUCAAGGACUUGUCUUUCCCAUACUGGAAAGAUAGAAGGGGUUUGUUUUCCACGUGCCAUUUCUCCAACUGCCGUCAUGAAUUGGACUAGACCGAAGCCAUCACUCAUAGUGUGAUUGAGUCGAAGUGUAAAAAUAAAACCACCGCACUUGAAGCGUGUUACCUGCGAAUUAAUUUCGUAUAAGCUAUGUUAUAGCUCAAUAACAGACAAAUUUUUAAAUUGAUAUAGUUUAUCACCUCAUUUGAUAUAUGAUAUUAUUUAUUAGACGUCAAAAUUUACAUUAGUUGAUUUUUAAUUACGAAUAAUUAACAGUAUUAAAUAACUCAACUAAAUAUUGUACCUAAACCCUAAAAGUUAUUUUUCAAUAUAUUCAAGUACACCAAAACAAUUAGUUUGCUCAGCUGUGCUUUGGGCCAGUUGAUUUCUGAGACUAAAAGUAUUAGUUGGAAGUCCCUUAUAGGCCAUAUGAGAAUUAAAAUUAAUUUUUUUUUUUAAAUAGCUGAAUUUUGUAAGAUUCAUUUGGUCCAAAUAGUGUUAGAUGAAAUUAGUAAAUCGAAUUUAGCUGAUUAAAGAGCAAAAAGUACCUGAAUAAGCAACAAAGGACAAUUAAUCACACCACUAGAGCCAGGGACAUCAAAGAGGAGCUCAUCCAAUAAGGGAAGUGGAGGUUGAAGUGCAUCUCUGCAUUGUUCAAGAGUAACAUCAGCAUCAGCCUCAAUAAACAAGACCCCUUCGCUGGUGCAUUCCACUACAAGCUUGCGGUUAGGCCAUUCUCUGAGCCUACCAGCAAAUGGAUAGUAAAACACUAGCGCUUUAGCAAGCGCCUCUUUUAUCACCUUAACAGGGUCCUUUCCUUGCAUUGAAGGAUCAUGUUUAUAAAUUUGUACGACAGGAAUAUGGAAUCGGAGACCUUCUUGGUCAUCUAUGUCCGAUAAUGGCUUGAACUCGUAAGGGGUGGGCUUGGCCGGGACGAUUAGUUCAGGUUCACGCCUGUGGACCUGGAACCUGAUGGAGCUUGUUGGUGGGUUCAUGGUAGAAGAAUGAGUGUUUGCUGAAGUGAACUGAGUGAAUGGGAGUGUUAGAUAUGUUGCUGCUUUCCCUGGUACAGGACAAUAGCAUCUAUUUAUAGGGAGGCAAUGUUAGAUUAGUUGAAUCUUGAUAACUAAAAGGAAUGGAAUUGCCACGAGUUCGGGAUUUAAAAUCUCUAUGUCAUAGGUUAAUCUUUUGCGUCAUAUCUACUUCACGUUACUGGCGUCAGAUGUAACUUGUGGCUCUAAUUGUAUGGUGUGUGGAUGGCUAUAAUUAAACCUCCGCAUAUUUGGAAAACUUAUCCAUGUGUACUCACUAUUAUAAUAACAAGAGAUAGUCAUAAAAAAAUAAAAAUUUAUCUACCACAAAAAUCAGAAUUUGAAUUUAAAACCUUUACCUUUUAAAAAUAAAUAUCUUUAAUACUUAAAGCUAAAUUUCAAAUACGGUGAAUUAUAAUUUUUAAGUAAUAAUAUUAAUUAUAAUAAAUCUCUCACGUUUAUGUUGAUGCAUUUGUGCAUUCAAGCAUCGGAUUGUGACAAACCUCAACAGCGGACCUUCUUGAAACAACCAUUUGCACGGCAGGUUGAGCAAUUCAUACUACUAUAUCAUGUUUUUCUGCCCAUAUACGUGUAUAGAUUGUUAUUGUCUUAAUUAUAAGUAAUUUCUUAAUUUAAAAUAUCAGUAUAUAAUUUUUUGUUUAAAAAAUUUAUAAGUAUAAAAUUUGAUUAGUAGCAAAUUGUAUUUAUAUAAAAAAUCUGUUCCCAUUAUUUUAAUUAUAAAUUUUUUAUUUGAACAAUUAGAAUUGUAUUUUCUAUUUAAGAGAAAUUAUACAAAAUUGUACUAAUAAUAAAUUAAAUAUAUAUUAUAAAUAUUUAAUAAAUAAUAUAAUUAAUAAUAUUAUAAUUAAUAAUAUUAUAAUUAAAAAAAAAAUCGUCAGGCGGAUUGAUUGGGUUCAAAUCAAGCUCAGUUAGGCUUGCAUUUUUUAAAUCUUAGCUCGAGCUUAGCUCAAUCAAUGCUUAUAACAUGGAUCGUGGUUCAUGAUUCUAAAUAGUCCGGAGUCUAUAACCAACAUAUGUGUAUGUAUGCAUGGAGAAGAGGAGAAUAUAACAACUCUUCCCCUUUUUUCAAAUUGCAUAAUGCGAGAAUUUUUGUUCUAGCUUUUUUAUAUUUUUUUAAAAUUGUACUGUUUUAUUUUUUAAAAAUCAUUAAUAAAAUAAAUUUAUAAAAAUUAAUAUUAUAUUAAAAAUUAUACAUUAAAUAAAUUUUUUAUAUAUUUAUAAGAAUUAGUCGUUUAUUUACGUGUUAUAUGACUAUUAUAAUUAUUUUACUGUCACUAUUUGAAAGAUUUUUAUUUUGACAUGUAUAUUUAUUUUUGACAUAUGAGAUUUUUAUUCUUUUAAUUGUAAUAAAAAUAUUAUAUUAAAAAUAAUAUUUUAAUUAUAUCUUUUUAUAGUUUUAUAAAAGCUAGUCCUUCACAUGCCUAUUGUACGACCGUCGUAAUUAUUUUGAUUAUAAAUAAUAAUAUAAAUUAAAUUAAUAUAUAAAAUUAAAUAGAUCUUUUAAUAUUUUAUAAUUAAUUAAAAUAUUUAAAAAUAAUAUUUAUUUAUUUAUUUUUAAUGUUUUUAUUAGUUUUUUUAUAUUUUAAAACUUUAUCAAUAAAAAAUAUAAAAAUUAUAAAUAAAUUAAUAGAAAAACUGUAAAAUUAUACAUAAACUUGAAUUCUACAUGUCAAAAUUAAAAAUCAUAUGUAUUAGAAUAUAGUAAUACAUGUCAAAAUGUUUUUAUUAGACUAGGUAAUAUUAAUAUUUUUUGUUCAUUUACAUGUGCUAAAAUGUUCAUUUUCUAUAUAUAAUAAUUAAUAUUCUUUGUAUUUAAAUAUUUAUUAUCUAUGAACUUAAUAUUCAUUACAGUUAAUGUUAAUGUUGAUUUGUUUAAUAAAUUAUUCAUCAGUGUUAAUAUUAAUUUUCAUGCAAUGUUCAUUGUCUGUAUAUAUAUAUAUAUAUAUAUAUAUAUAUAUAUAUAAUGUUCAUCAAUUUUUUCAAAUAAAAGUAUUGAUUUUUUAUGAAAGCUUUUAUUAUUUUUAUGAUGCAUAUUGAAAAUAUUUUAUGAUUAAUAUAAACAUUCAUUAUUUAUAUGCAUGAUAUUCAUUAGUUUGUCAAUAGAAAUUCAUCAUUGAUGAAAAUCAUACCCACUAAUUCAUUCAAAUGGACACAUAUAAUAUCAAUAUAACAUAAAUCUUCUAUACACAAUUAGUAAACAAAAAAAAAAUAUCAGACUAAAGUUAUAUUAUAAAUAUUCAUAUUGUGGUAUGCAUGUCUUUUCAACAAAAUUAAGUUAACAAAUAAUCAACAUUUAACAUUUUUAACAAAAUUAAAUUAACAAAUUAUGAAUAUAAAUUAUUUUCUAAAAAAAAAAUUGUGUCAGCAUCUGAUGUGCAUCAGUAUUUGACGCACGUCUAAAACUUAAAACACAGAUAUUUGUACAAGUAAAAUGAUGACGGAUGUAUCCCUAGGUUCAUAGAACUACGUAGAUAGUGGUUGAUCUUAUAAUUUUCAUAAAAGUCCCAAUUGUUAUAAUAUGAACUGCGGUCCAUAACACACACGUGGUACAUUUUCUUUCUAAGAUGUAUGGUGCAUUCUACUUUUAAAGUGUAUACUACAAGGAGUUUAAUUCUCGCUGUUUCUAAAUUAUAAUAAAAUAAAUUUAUAAAAAUUAAUAUUAUAUUAAAAAUUAUACAUAAAUUUAAAUUUUACAUGUCAAUAAUAAGUCCACGUGUUAAAAUUAAAAAUCAUAUAUAUCAGAAUAUAGUAACACAUGUCAAAAAAAUUCAAUUAGACCAUAUACAUAUUAAUAUUUUUUGUUCAUUUACAUGUACUAAAAUAUUCAUUUUCUAUAUGUAUAAUAUCCAUUAGAUGUAAUGUUCUAUAAUAAUUAAUUUUCUUUGUAUUGAAAUAUUCAUUAUUAGUGAACUUAACAUUCAUUAUGGUUGAUGUUUAUAUUCAUUUUAUUUGAUGUAUUAUUCAUCAAUGUUCAUUGUCUAUAUAUAUAAUGUUCAUCAAUAUUCUUAAAUAAAAAUAUUGAUUAUUUAUGAUUGUUUUUGUGAUGCAUAUUGAAAGGCUCGUGGUACCUUCUGCCCACCAUUCCUCUUCUACUUUGAGAAUUGUGUGAACGGAGAGUGGGCAGAAGGGAAGAAGGUCCUCAUACGGAGUCACACACUUACUUGAGCAGGGUGGGAGACUGGGGAAUGGGUCUAUUAUCUAUCUUCAACUCGAGCAGCCUGAGCCACAGCCCUCGAGGACCCCUAUAGACAGAAUAAUAUAAUAAGAAUGAGAAUAGUCAAAUCUACCAGAAACUUCGAUAAAGAACAGCUCAUUAAAAAUCCAGAAUGGACCAGUUCAGCACCUCAAGGAGUAGAUUCCAAGCUGCAUCUCCAAAGUCCAAAGAGGAUGCACCUUCCCUUUUUACCUUUGCCUGCUAUAAAAUUGGUGGAUUCCUAACCUUCCUAACCUAACAAAUUUAAUAGCAUAGAAAGAAAGGACCUUUCCCAAAUUAGGUUAGGUUUAGGCUUUAGCCCCUAUUAGUUAAGCUUAAGCCAGCUGAAAAAUUGAUGGGCGCUACUAGCAUGGAACGUGAAGUGCUCUUCGGUUAGAGCAAAGCCCAAAAAAAAAUGGUUGUCUAAGUUGUCAAAGAUUUUGCUAUGAAAGACUUGGGUGGAUGAUGAAAAUAGAACGUCGAGACUUGCCUCUUGGCUAGUUCCGAAUAGUUCAGUUUUUGGAAAGGGGUGCAAGCAAGGAAAUUGUAUUAGAGUGGGGUGGUUGGUAAGCAACUUGCGGGAAGCCGUUGCGCGUUAGCAAUAGUUGCUGCUUCCAGUUACUUCUGAACGCGAUAACAUGAUUUAUUCCAUGGACACCCUCUAUGGAGGACCUUUUUAUGAUUGAUAUAAAUAUUCAUCAUUUACAGGCAUAAUAUUCAUUAGUUUGUCAAUAGAUAUUCAUCAUUAACAAGCAAUGAACAUUUUACGUAUAAACAAUAAAUAUUCAGCAUAUGUUUAAUGAACAUAAGUUAAUGAAUAUUUAAUACAAAAUCAAUGAACAUAAAUUAUUUAAAAAAAAAAAAAUUAUGUUAGCGUCUGAUGUGCACGUCAGUAUCUGUCGCACGUGUAAGAUGCUGAUAUAAAUUUCUUUAUAAAUAAAACGGUGUUGGAUGGACCCUAACUCCACAGAGCUAUAUGAAUCGGAGUCUACCUUAUAAUUUCCAUAGCUCGAUCCUGCUUGUACAAGCUUAAGCUUUUAAUCAAGUCGACCUAUCUUAAAAUAUAUAUGAAUUUUUAUGUAUAUAUUUUCUAGACGGACUUGUUUUAUCAAGCAAGCCUCAAAGAAAUAAUAUUUAUAAAUCCACUUAAAAAAUAAUCUAACUUUUUUCUGAUUCGGACUUGAAUGAGCUGGGCAGAUAACAAAAUCGACGACAUGUCUAACCGUCAGUGUAAUAUAUAAUGUGUAUUAGACAAAAUUUAAACUAAACUUUUUUUAUUUUAAAAGUAUUUAUAUGUAAAAUUUAACUAACAUUCGCAUAUAAUAAUAAUCUAAUAAAUGUGUAAUCCAUCCUAUGUUGUACGAGAUUAGAUUACUUUCUUAAUUUAUUAACUAAUAUAUCAAUUAUAUUUAUAUAGAUUAAUAAUAAAAUAUAACAAAUAUAAUAUUUCUUAAGAUUAAGAGCUAACUUAUUAGUUAAUACAUUAAUUAUAUAUAUUAUUUUUAUAUUACAAUUAUUAUUUAAUUAAUAAAAUAUAUAUUAAUUACUAUAUUUAUUAUACUAUAAUAUUAUCAUUAUAACGAUACAAUAAACAUAAAAACCAUCAUAGUAGUGAUCAAAUAGCACCCAUGAUUUUUCUUCUCCUCUUCCAACUAUAUUUAAAUAAUGUAAUCAAAACAAACUUAUGGCUAAUAUAUUAUAUUCAAAAAUAUGUAAAGCAUGCAGUUAACCUAGAAUCUCCUACUAAAUCAUUUUUUUUAGCCAAAUGAAUAUUUAUAUUUUUGAAUUUUAAUUAUUUAGUUAAUUUAACACAAUAAUUUUUAUUUAAUUAACAGAUAUUUAAUUUAUUUUUUAUAAUAUUUUAAUAUUAUUUAAUAUUAUAUUUUUUUAAUAUGUCCACAUGCAUUACCAAAAAAUAAAAUUUAAAUAUUUAUUAAAUUAAAAUUAAAAUUAAAAUAUUAAACUAAUUAAUCGAUACCAAUUUAGAAAUAUAAAUGCUGAUAUUUUCGUUUUCCUUUCAAAAGAAGGAUUGUCCGACUGUCGGUUUACUUGAUCGAUAUAUAGGCUUUUUUUUUUUUUUCUUUUAUUCCUUGGUUGAUAUAUAGUUGCGCAUAUGAAAAGGACUUAUUGACAGGUUGGUCUAAAUUAUUGGUAGGGUUGAUAAGUACAUACAUGUGACCGUCCUGAUCUAAUUUAAUUUGCUAGGUACUCGUGCUGUUUUAUGAAAACUCUAUUUUUUAGAAAAAUAAAAAUUAUAAAAUAAUAUAAUCAAACUUUAAAAAGUAAGUGCAAUUUUAUAAUGAAAAUAAUAAAAAUAUCAUAUAUCGUAAUUUAUUCAUCUAGUAUCUAAAAAUGAGUUAUUUUUAUCGUUAGAAAAAGAAAGAAAAAGAACUAAUCUUAAUUAUAGAAAGUGGACGAUUAAAAGUGGAUUUACUGCUCAGAGUUUAAUUUCUAUAGCGAGCAUUUAGAAAGUAACUAAUCGUUUAUCUAUGCAUUGCACGAUAGUUAUUAUUAUUUUAAUUAUAAAAUAAAAUUAAUAAAUAAAAUUUAAUAAUUUUCUUAAUAUUUAGUUAUAAUAUUUUAAAAAUAACAGAAAACUAAAUAUUUCUAUAUAUUCUUCUUAAUUUAUUUCGUAUUUUAAAAUUUUAUUAAUGUGAAAAUAUAAUAAUAAUUUUAACAUUACGUAUUAAUUGACUUUAGUAUUAUUUAAAUGAAUACUAUGAAUAUAAUCGAUAUUACUAUUUUUUAAGAUUAUAAAUUAUUACAUAAUUAAAAUUAUUUUAUUAGUAAAUAUAAUACUAAAGAUAUUAUUUUCUAGAAUAAUAAUUAUUAUUUAAUUAGAAAAUUAUUUAUUAAUUAAUAUAAUAAUAAAAUAUUAAUUAAUGUGAUAUUUUUUAUAAUAGAAUUACAUUUUUUUAUCUAAUUAUAAAACUAAUUUAUUAAUUAAUAUAAUAUCAAAAUAUAAUUAAUAUGUUAUCUUCUAAAAUUAGAAUUAUUGCUUAACUAGAAAUAUAACUUAUUAAUUAUUAAUAAAUUAAUUAGAAAAAUAUAAAAUUACACAUAAGUUUAAAUUUUAUAUCAAAAAUAACUAUACAUGUUAAAAUAAAAAAUCUAUGUGUUAGAAUAAAAGCACAUAUGUCAAAAAAGUUUAUUUCUCUAGAUUAUUAUUCGUUCAUAGAAAAGUGAGUAAUAAUUUGUGAUACUUGUGUGUAGAUAUGGCCAGAAAACUAGUAAACAUCAUACAUGUAUUAUCAGUUCUUUUUCAUUUUUUAUUUAUUUAUGGGGUUCAAUAGAUUAUAGUAUAUAGUCAUUCUCUUUUUGUUCACUAUAAAAAUAUAAUAAUAUAUUUAAUACAGAAAUGAAAAUUUAAACUCAAUAUAUCUCUUCCAGGAAUAAAAUAUUCAUACUACUUCUUAAUUAUGAUUUAAGGCACAUUAAUUUUUUGAAAUAUCUAGUUUGAUACCUAAACAUCCAUAUAAUUUCAUUGCACUUUAACUACAAAGGUGAUUGUAUAAACGACGAACUAACCACACCAUUGACUGGCUUGUCUUGCAAUAGAAUUUUCAACUCCUUUGCAAAUCUUUCCAUCGCUUGUGCUGGCAAGCAAAUUGGCAACAUGAAUCCAAUUUCUCUUUUCUCAUUUUCGAAUGGUAAAUAAUAGCUACAUUGCAUUGGAGUAGAAUUGAUAGGACCAGCAUAUGUAGCUCUUCCCCAUCCGAAAUCCACCUCUCUAAAUCCCAUAUGUCUCACAUCUGACAUAAAGUAUGCUUCUUCUGUGGUAAAAUGAGGUCUACCUUUGAUCAGUAGUGUAUCUGCCACUGACUGAACAUAUUCUCUAGUCGUGUCUGCUUUAGCCUUUUUUAUUAAUUCUAUUGCAUAACUUACCGGUUCUUUCAAGAGUUUUUCAGCCGUUGUCACCGCAGUCGAAAGCACAAAUCCAUUGCCAUAAUACCCCUUUGGUACUAGUGGAGGAUCAAAUUUGUUGCGUACAUUGUUAGCAAAAAUCAUUUUCAUUUCUGUUGUAGGGUUUGGCCGAAGAGCAAUAGUACGACAUUUCCAAAAACACGCGGUUAGAAUUUCAAAAGUGGAGCAGCCACCGAGAUGAGAAGGGGCAUAUCUUCGAAAAGAUGAUAUUUCAGUAGGUCCAAAAAAAAAAUGCUCGUUCAUCCAAAUCAUCAAGUGGAAAUGGAUUCAUUAUAUGAUUGUCAGGAAUUUCAUCGUAUUCGCGAUGUGUGCAUGUUGUAAUUGGUGGGUUUCUUGCAUUUAGGACAUGUCUUUCCCAUACUGGAAGAACUGAAGGGUUUUGUUCUCCACGGGCCAUUUCUCCAACUGCCGUCAGGAAUUGGACUAGACCAGGGCCAUCACUCAUAGUGUGAUUGAGUCGAAGUGCAUAAAUAAAACCGCCGCACUUGAAGCGCGUUACCUGCGAAUUAAUUAAUUUCGUUUAAACUAUUAUAUAUAUAUACCGGAAGAAUUAGUUUGCUCAGCUGAGUUUUUGGGCAACUGAUUCUGAGACUAAAAGUUAUUGGUUUAAAGUCCAAUUACAGAACAUAUGAUAAUUAAGUCUCUCUUAGAAAAAAAACUGAAAAUUUUGAUAUUAUUGGUUCCAAAUAGUGUUGGAUGAAAUUGGUAAAUCGAAUUUAGCUGAUUAAAGAGCAAAAAGUACCUGAAUAAGCAACAAAGGACAAUUAAUCACACCACUAGAGCCAGGGACAUCAAAGAGCAGCUCAUCCAAUAAGGGAAAAGGAGGUUGAAGUGCAUCUCCGCAUUGUUCAAGAGUAACAUUAGCAUCAGCCUCAAUAAACAAGACCCCUUCGCUGGUGCAUUCCACUACAAGCUUGCGGUUAGGCCAUUCUCUGAGCCUACCAGCAAAUGGAUAGUAAAACACUAGCGCUUUAGCAAGCGCCUCGCUUAUCACCUUAACAGGAUCUUUUCCUUGCAUUGAAGGGUCAUGUUUAUAAAUUUGUACGACAGGAAUAUGGAAUCGAAGACCUUCUUGGUCAUCUAUGUCCGAUAAUGGCUUGAAGUCGUAAGGGGUGGGCUUGGCCGGGACGAUUAGUUCAGGUUCACGCCUGUGGACCUGGAACCUGAUGGAGCUUGUUGGUGAAUUCAUGGGAGAAGAAUGAAUGUUUGCUGAAGUAAACUGAGUGGAUGUCGGUGUUAGAUAUUUUGCUGCUUUCCCUGAUACAUGACAAUAGCAUCUAUUUAUAGCUGGGGAGACAGUGUUACCACUAGCUUCGUUUUAGUGUUGUUAGUGCAAGACAGAAGCAAUAAGUUUGUCUCGGACUUUUUAGGGAAGAUUGUGCUGUGUGAGACGACGCGUCGUUUCUGGGUUUGGAUAAAGUUUCGUGUGGAGGAGAUAAUGUAGGGUCGCCAUAUUAGCGUUUUCGCCAUUUGCAAGUUCUUUGGAGAAAAAUGAGAGUUUUUGCAGUCGAAUCGUAGAAGCGUGUCUUUCUUUCUUUUUUUCGUCUUUUAAAUCUGGCCGGU
rnacentral:lncRNA from 1 species